GUGUCAGCAGCCGCGGUAAGACAGAGGUUGCAAACGUUGUUCGGAAUUACUGGGCAUAAAGAGCACGUAGGUGGUGCGCUAAGUCGUGUGUGAAAUGCCCCGGCUCAACCGGGGAAUUGCGCUCGAUACUGGCGUGCUAGAGGUCGGUAGGGGUGAGUGGAACUCCAGGUGGAGCGGUGAAAUGCGUAGAUAUCUGGAGGAACACCGGUGGCGAAAGCGACUCACUGGACCGAUUCUGACACUGAGGUGCGAAAGCUAGGGUAGCAAACGGGAUUAGAAACCCGGGUAGUCC
rnacentral:rRNA from 1 species